CAAAACACCAGGGGUUUGGUCUAGGUCAUGCUGCUCACAGCACAGAAAGCCAAUAAGGGAAGAAGGCUUUAAUUGGGCGCUGCCGCUGAGGAGAUGGUUCAAUCUCAAAUCCAUCUCCUUGACCAGCUAAAAUCAGGGGUUUAAAUAACAGGGAAGAAAUGUAACAAUGUGUAAGAAAACAGGAACUAGGGAGGGGCAAGGAAGCAGUCAUGAUGAAUGAGAGGUCCAUUAUCUCAUUGUCUGGAUGUGAUGAUCUGGCACUAUUACUGCUGGAGAUUCAGCAUGAACCAGACAGAUAAACACUUCCUGCCUCGGCCCUGAGCCCUCAGGAAACUUUCAAUCUAGGGAGGGAGAAAGACAAUAAACAAAAGAAAUGGGAGAAUGGCGUGAACCCGGCAGACGGAAUUUGCAGUGAGCCGAGAUCGCGCCACUGCACUCCAGCCUGGGCAACAGAGCGAGACUCUGUCUGAAAAAAAAAAAAGAAAAGAAAAAGAAAUGUGUCCUUUUAGUUUUUUGUGGUUAUUUUUUGCCAUACAAAAGGUAUUAAUUCUUAUGAAGUCAUAUGUAGCUAUAUUUUCUUUUC
rnacentral:lncRNA from 1 species